CCUACGGGAGGCAGCAGUGGGGGAUAUUGCACAAUGGGGGGAACCCUGAUGCAGCGACGCCGCGUGGGUGAAGGAGUGCUUCGGCAUGUAAAGCCCUAUCGGCAGGGAAGAAGCAAGACGGUACCUGACUAAGAAGCCCCGGCUAACUACGUGCCAGCAGCCGCGGUAAUACGUAGGGGGCGAGCGUUAUCCGGAUUCCCUGGGUGUAAAGGGAGCGUAGACGGCCAUGUGAGCCAGGGGUGAAAGCCCGGGGCCCAACCCCGGGACUGCCCUUGGAACUGUGCGGCUAGAGUGCGGGAGGGGCAGGCGGAAUGCCUGGUGUAGCGGUGAAAUGCGUAGAGAUCAGGAGGAACACCGGUGGCGAAGGCGGCCUGCUGGACCGCGACUGACGUUGAGGCGCGAAAGCGUGGGGAGCGAACAGGAUUAGAUACCCGGGUAGUC
rnacentral:rRNA from 1 species